UUGGAGGUGUGUAGUGAUGAACUCUGAAGCUACAUGAAGUUUGGAGGUGUGUAGUGAUGAACUCUGAAGCAACAUGAAGUUUGGAGGUGUGUAGUGAUGAACUCUGAAGCUACAUGAAGUUUGGAGGUGUGUAGUGAUGAACUCUGAAGCAACAUGAAGUUUGGAGGUGUGUAGUGAUGAUCUAAUCUGAAGCUACAUGAAGUUUGGAGGUGUGUAGUGAUGAACUCUGAAGCUACAUGAAGUUUGGAGGUGUGUAGUGAUGAUGAACUCUGAAGCUACAUGAAGUUUGGAGGUGUGUAGUGAUGAUCUAAUCUGAAGCUACAUGAAGUUUGGAGGUGUGUAGUGAUGAUGAACUCUGAAGCUACAUGAAGUUUGGAGGUGUGUAGUGAUGAUCUAAUCUGAAGCUACAUGAAGUUUGGAGGUGUGUAGUGAUGAUGAACUCUGAAGCUACAUGGAGUUUGGAGGUGUGUAGUGAUGAACUCUGAAGCUACAUGAAGUUUGGAGGUGUGUAGUGAUGAACUCUGAAGCUACAUGAAGUUUGGAGGUGUGUAGUGAUGAACUCUGAAGCUACAUGAAGUUUGGAGGUGU